GAUAUAAAUAUGAAAAAUUAAAAAUAUGAAAUAUGAAGGUGUUUUAAACGGUCUUAGGGCCCGAAUAUAUAAAGGUUCACAUUAUAAUUAAUCGCAAAGGUUUUUCAUUCAAGGUGUUAAAUUCCCCCCACCUUAGAAAAUUUCAUCCCUAAAUUUAUCAUGAAUAGAUAUGGGAACUUCUCUCUCAUCUCGCUCUUCAACUCCCACGUUGUCUCUUCCGGAGUGUGGUGUUGCCACUAUACGAAGUCACCAUAGGAAUCAUCUUAUUACACAGAACCUUGUCAAUCAAAUAAAUGAUUUUUGCAGGGAGCUUUUCAUAUGUCAUAUAAGCUUGAACCUACAUCUCCUGGUGAGGAAUGAUGUGAAAAGGGUCAGCGUGGUACAUUUUGAGCAAGGAGACAAGAAAAACAUCAUGUAGACCUGCAAACUCUUAGGGUAGAGUAAGGCAGUACGCCAUGGGUCCAACACGUUCCACGAUUUGAAAAUGUCCCACAUAACAGGGGCUCAACUUUUCCUUCUUAUUGAAUCACAUUUUUCCCUUGUAAGGAAUAUCCUAAGGAAGUCUUGAUCGCCAAUUGUAAAUUCCAAGGGUCUUUUAUGGUUGUUAGCAUAGCUUUUUAGAAACUCUAAGGUGGCUAAGUUCCUUCGAAUGAUAAUAACUUUCUCAGUAGUCGCAUUAUGUGGGACCUUUUCGGAUCAUUGAGCACAUUGGACCUGU
rnacentral:lncRNA from 1 species